rnacentral:misc_RNA from 1 species
GAAAUGCGAUACGUAGUGUGAAUUGCAGAAUUCAGUGAAUCAUCGAGACCUUGAACGCACCUUGCGCUUGUGGUCAACCACAAGCAUGCCUGUUUGAGUGUCGUCAAUAUUCUUGCCCUCUCCCCCUUUCAGGAAAAAAGAGAGAAGUCUCUUCUCCUUUUCCACUUUAGGCAGGGGAGGGGGCAGCAGUGAGCGCCUGUCGCCAAGCAACAGCCGCUUGAAAGUCAUCGAGGUGAACCAGCGUGCGCCCUUGCAGGCCCGCCAUCCCGUGGUCCCUCCGGUGUUUCUAACAUGCUCUGUCAUGAUUCUACACCAUUGAGACCCUCUUUGGGGCGGAUUUUUAGGACCUGUGGCCCCUAGUCCCCUUUUUUUUCCUAUACAUUUUUAAAACUGCGACCUC